rnacentral:lncRNA from 1 species
CGAGGCUGCGGAGAUACUUAGGGCAGCCGCGACUUGCGUUUGCUCCUUGGGUUAUUUCGUUUUCUUCUCUACUCUCCUCCUUGGCCGCUCCUCUAGAGCUGCGCUCUCCGGUGUCGCUCAGCCUUUUUUGCCUUGAACUGAAUCCAGGUGGGAAACUGGUCGUCGGGCGGAAAGACACCGAAUAGGUAGAAAUAAGGCAAAGUAUCAGACGCAACAGGUCCAGAGCUCGGUGGGGCGGGAGAGCGGCGGCCCCUCGCCGCGCCCGCUGCCCCCCGGGACCCUACACUGCAGCUCUCGGGGACCUGGGGAGAGGUGUCUGCUUUUUGAGGGUUAGGAGAGCCAUCCGGGUGGGUUUCAUUUCGGUUUUUUUUACCCCAUCGCCACCCGGUCCCUGGACUGAGGGUGCUUUUCACUCAACUGGUAGGAGAGAAGGAAGCGGAGGAUGGUCCACGCCUGCUGGUCUCAAAACUGAGCAAAGCGCAGGUCCAUCUCCGCGCCCGGGCUCCGACUCCACCAACUAGUUGUGCAGCCACAGAGACUGAACUUUAAAGG